CCUGCACCUGGCUCCAUGGCGGAACCGGCUGGCACGGAUUAUUCCCCUCUCGGGAGAGGUCUGCAGCCGGGCUUCAGUGCUUCAGUUCGUGGCCUGGCAUUUUGUCUGUAUCUUAAUUGUGGAUUAAGGUUGGAGUGCAGUGGCACUAUCAUGGCUUAGUCCAGCCUCAGCCUUCUAGGUUCAAGCGAUCUUCCCACCUCAGCCUCCCAAGAAGCUAGGACUACAGGGACCCGCCACCCCACCUAGCUAAUUAAAAAAAAAAUUGUAGAGAUGGAGUCUCAGUGUGUAGCCCAGUCUCAAGUGACCCUCCCUCCUUGGCCUCCCAAAGUGCUGAGAUUGCAGGAAGAGUGUCUUCAUCUCUGCAUCCCUAGUGCAACAGAGCAUGAUAAAAAUUCAAUAAAUAUUUAUUGAAGAGUCUUGUUGUCUUUUGGGAAAGGAACUCUAUGGUUACCUUUACUCUAAGUUAAAAACAACAACAACAACAACAACAAAAACACAAAACCCUGAGGCUCAGAAGAUAAAUAUUUGCUGAAGAUCACUGUGCUUAUUAGAUGGGUGUUACUGAUUCUUACCUCAGAGAAGAGAAUGUCAUGGAGACAAAAUGAUCUGCUUAGAGUUCUGCACCCCCCAGCAUGGAGAGCAGAGCGCAAAGAUUUCUUCCGGACUCUCACAUUCCCCUUGGAAUCCAAGAACUGGUCUACUGUCACAACACUUUAGUACCCUCUUCUCCCAAGGAGGCAGCAGAAACUGGGGUAAUCACAACGGUCAACAGCAGCAAAGGCAGCACUUUCUGA
rnacentral:antisense_RNA from 1 species